CCUUUACACUCCCCAAUAUAAUUUUUAGGUAAUUAAACAACUUGCGUAGCACCAGUAGAUGUCUUAUGGAUGGUAUCAUCGGAGUACAUACCAUGCUUGGUGGAGUCAUAUGUUUCACCAUCGCCCCAUAAUGCAUAAGCCUCUUCGCCGUGCACGGCAUCAUCUCCUAUCAACAGCUGCUCCUCCGACAUACGCAAUGGGAUUACCAAAUUUAUCACCACACAAAUGAUUGAGGUGAUAACCAAAUUCCACCCAAUGAUGAAUGCACCGCCAGCUAGUUGUUUGAGGAAUUGAACUCCACCGGAGCCACCAUAAACGCCACCUCUAGAAUUUGCA
rnacentral:misc_RNA from 1 species